AAUCACAAAUAUUUAAACCGCAAUUAUUUAAACAAAUGGUCAAUUUAUGAAAUUCUUUACUCAAAAUCUCAAUAAAGUGAAACUAUUUUCACAAAAUAGUAACUGCACACUUUCAAUUAAAGUUUUGUUCAUAGAUCAUACAAAUAUACAUAAUAUAUAUACACAUAAUAUAUAAAAGUAUAUAUCCAUUAAUUAAGAAACAAAAUAGGGCUCUGUACCUUUUUAUGGAUAAAACUAUUUAAACUCUUGAACCGGUAUUUUGUAAUGUAAAAAGAUAUGUUGUGCAUAAAUUUCAAUGAAGUGAAAUUAAUAAGUCAUCAACAAUUUCUUCCCAUAUUUACAGCGCAUUAAAAAAAUAACAAACUUUUGAUAUUAAUUUUCCAACACAGAUUUGUUCUGCGCAAAAUGGAAAUCUUUAUUUGCAGACUUUAAUGCAUAAAUGCAUUUCGUAAAACCAGAAUGAAACUAUUAACAGAAAUUUCAAAAUCAAAUUUGAAUUAGUCAGGUCGUUAAUUAAUUAGAUUCUUCGAACAUAUGCUAUAUCUGCUCAUACAGCCACUGUUAUUUUGCACAUGAUUGAAAAUAUAAAAUUUUUAAAUCAAAGUGGACUGUUCUAAUUAACAGAUGAGUAUAUUGGGAACCAGAGAUACAUAUACGCAAGGAAUAAUUAUGUUAUAUAAAAUUUAAGCCACCAAAAAUUCAUAGGCAAAGAAUAAAACAAAUUAAAUUUGCGCACAAAUUUUCAAACAACAACUUCAUAACAGAUACGCAAUUGACGCAGAUGUUAU
rnacentral:lncRNA from 1 species